UGGGGAAUAUUGGACAAUGGGCGAAAGCCUGAUCCAGCCAUGCCGCGUGUGUGAAGAAGGUCUUCGGAUUGUAAAGCACUUUAAGUUGGGAGGAAGGGCAGUAAGCGAAUACCUUGCUGUUUAGACGUUACCGACAGAAUAAGCACCGGCUAACUCUGUGCCAGCAGCCGCGGUAAUACAGAGGGUGCAAGCGUUAAUCGGAAUUACUGGGCGUAAAGCGCGCGUAGGUGGUUCGUUAAAUUGAAUGUGAAAGCCCCGGGCUCAACCUGGGAACUGCAUCCAAAACUGGCGAGCUAGAGUAGGGCAGAGGGUGGUGGAAUAUCCUGGGUAGCGGUGAAAUGCGUAGAUAUAGGAAGGAACACCAGUGGCGAAGGCGACCACCUGGGCUCAUACUGACACUGAGGUGCGAAAGCGUGGGGAGCAAACAGG
rnacentral:rRNA from 1 species